GUCUUUUCGAUGUCUGUAAGAGACAUUCAAUAAAAUUGGAAUGACUUGGAGAAGAUUUGAAUGGGCCCUACCCAAGGAUGACACCCACAAAUCUGAGAACCAAACUUUUUCC
rnacentral:snRNA from 1 species